rnacentral:rRNA from 1 species
GAGCGAGGGCUGACGACCCGCAAGGGUUGUGGGUACCUAGCGGCAAACGGGUGAGUAACACGUGGGCAACCUGUCCUCUCGUGGGGGAUAACACCGAGAAAUCGGUGCUAAUACCGCAUGACAUCGUUGGAGGCAUCUUCGGCGAGGAAAGCAGAGAUGCGCGAGGGGGUGGGCCCGCGGCCUAUCAGCUAGUCGGUGGGGUAACGGCCUACCGAGGCAUUGACGGGUAGCUGGUCUGAGAGGACGACCAGCCACACGGGGACUGAGACACGGCCCCGACUCCUACGGGAGGCAGCAGUGAGGAAUCUUCCGCAAUGGGCGAAAGCCUGACGGAGCGACGCCGCGUGUGGGAUGAAGUCUUUCGGGAUGUAAACCACUGUCGGAGGGGAAGAGAAAGGACGGUACCCUCCAAGGAAGCCCCGGCUAACUACGUG